rnacentral:lncRNA from 1 species
ACACUAAUUAACUUCAUAUAUAUGUGGGCUUGUAUUUUGUGUUGCAAUGUUUUUUGUUAUCUUAUAUGAUUAUAUCUCAAGUAAGAUGGAGCCUACAGUAUUAUUGUAUUAAUUAAUACAGGGUUAUGAUCUAACUCACUCGCAGUAGAAUGACUUAAAAAGAGUUUGUGUUCAUGCAGAGACCAGUUGGUUUCCGUGUAGCAUCAGGUGUUGGAGCGGUUAAUGGACUUGUAUUAGAGAUCAUUUUAACAUUUGGCUUAGUGUACGUCGUGUAUUCGACUUUGAUUGAUCCAAAGCGUGGAAGCCUCGGGAUCAUAGCACCACUUGCAAUCGGACUCAUAGUUGGGGCAAACAUCUUAGUAGGUGGACCAUUUUCUGGUGCUUCGAUGAAUCCAGCUAGAGCCUUUGGUCCAGCAUUGGUGGGAUGGAGAUGGCAUGACCACUGGAUCUACUGGGUCGGGCCAUUCAUCGGUA